AUUGAACGCUGGCGGCAGGCUUAACACAUGCAAGUCGAGCGAGCGGCGGACGGGAGAGUAAUGUCUGGGACACUGCCUGAUGGAUGGGGAUAACUACUGGAAACGGUAGCUAAUACCGCAUACCAUCAGAUGUGCGCAGAUGGGAUUAGAGAGUAGGUGGGGUAAUGGCUCACCUAGGCGACGAUCCCUAGCGGGUCUGAGAGGAUGACCAGCAACACUGGAACUGAGACACGGUCCAGACUCCUACGGGAGGCAGCAGUGGGGAAUAUUGCACAAUGGGCGAAAGCCUGAUGCAGCCAUGCCGCGUGUGUGAAGAAGGCCUUCGGGUUGUAAAGGACUUUCAGCGGGGAGGCGGUACCCGCAGAAGAAGCACCGGCUAACUCCGUGCCAGCAGCCGCGGUAAUUC
rnacentral:rRNA from 1 species